rnacentral:tRNA from 1 species
GCCUGGGUGGCUCAGUCGGUUGAGCGUCCGACUUCAGCUCAGGUCAUGAUCUCACAGUUUGUGGGUUCGAGCCCCACGUCGGGCU